UACGUAGGGUGCAAGCGUUAAUCGGAAUUACUGGGCGUAAAGCGUGCGCAGGCGGUGAUGUAAGACAGUUGUGAAAUCCCCGGGCUCAACCUGGGAACUGCAUCUGUGACUGCAUCGCUGGAGUGCGGCAGAGGGGGAUGGAAUUCCGCGUGUAGCAGUGAAAUGCGUAGAUAUGCGGAGGAACACCGAUGGCGAAGGCAAUCCCCUGGGCCUGCACUGACGCUCAUGCACGAAAGCGUGGGGAGAAAACAGG
rnacentral:rRNA from 1 species